CUUACUCUGUAAGCUUUUCUCUUCUUUUUUUUUUAAUAACAGUGAACGCUUUUCUCUGUAUCUCAUCUAACAGAUUCAUUUUUUCUUCUUCUUCUUCUUCUCUCUGCACCAUCCAUGGCGUAAGGUCCACCAUCUCUCCUAUUUCAACCGUCUCUCACCACCACAAGUCACCUGCAAUCACGUUCGUGACUUCGCCGAACCGGGGCGUCCAAGGCCAGCCAAGCUCCGUCAAGAGAAUCCUCAACCUCUGUAUCUCGCUUUUGAGAGUCGCCGCUCAAAGUCCAAGGAAGAACACGCCCUCUACAGCGCCGGCCCAUGAGAAGAAUCAGCGCCGUCGGAGACAAACCCUAGAACCCCAUCGUCCUCCGAACGGAGGUUGAGUGGAUUCUAAGAAGCAAGGAGGUGGGGGAGACAUAAACACAGUGGAGAAAAAACAAGAAAAAAGGAGAAGAUGAAGAAGCUUGGAGGCCUCCACGACCUUUGCUAUCCGUGGUUCGACGGCGGCGUUAAGAAAAGAGGAGGCCUGGUUUUCUUACUAGGUUUAGUUUUGGUUUAGUUUUGGUUUAGUUUUAGUUUAGUUUUGGUUUAGUUUUGGUUUAGUUUUAGUUUAGUUUUGGUUUAGUUUUGGUUAGGUUUUGGUUUAUACUUUUAAUUUGUAAAUCAUAUUCUUUUUUUACAUUAAUAAAAAAUUAAAUAUAUAAACGAGUUUAAAUUUUAAUUAUGUUUCUAAUAUUUAAUUAAUUUUUAUUUUUAUUUGUUUUUAUUUUUUUUUAUUUUUUUUUUUAUAAUAAAAAUAAUAACGAAAAUUAUUCGCUAUUAGAAAAUAUUUAAUUGCAGAUAGAAAAGCGCUAUCGUAGUGGAAGAAAAGAUAGCAUUGUUAAAAACCGCUAUGUAAUGUCCUUCACCUAUUAUGACGGGCGAUGAUACAGCGCUUCAAAAACCGCUAUCAUAUCGUUAUAUAGCGUUUUUCGUCCGCUAAUAAAACCCAUUUUUCUUGUAGUGAUAUUAUCGGUACGUCGGUACGCUACCAGUGGCGAAGAACCUUAAGACACGUGGGAUUGAUUGUGACUUAAGGUGCAGUAUUUGUGGGGCAGACGAGGAGUCAACUAACCAUGUACUAUUUGAAUGUCCACCCGCACCAUAAACAUGAGUGUUAUCCAGGAUUAUUUCCCUCCGUGCAUCUUCCCAUCGUCUUCUGUCUUUACCAUCAUGGAAUAUUUUUUGGAUGCUUCCGAAGGAUGGUGAUUUUAGAAGUGGAAGCAGCGUCGUGGGCUGAGGCACAAUUAUUGGUGACUGAACAACGUGGAGUCACUCAAACUAUUUUUAGUUGCCAAUCACUGGUAAAUACUAGAGUUUGUUAUGUUGAUGGUGCAUGGAGAGAGGAAGAUAUAUACACUGGACAAGGAUGUUAUUGUCAAAAAGUAGGUUUGACUUAAGUGAGGAUGGGAGCGAUGAAUAUGCGACGUAGUCGAUCACUUCUACAUGCUGAGUGUGAAUCUCUGAUCUUGGCAAUGAAAUGCAUGAAAAGCCUCCAAUUUCCUGAUAUAGUAGUAUUCACGAUAGAUUGUUCUCAUUUGGUGAAGAUAGUGUCGUCACCUGAAAAAUGGCCUGUUUUUUCUACACAUAUGGAAGAAUCGACGCAUUGAAACUUUCUUCCCCAACUUUCGGAUCAGGCAUAUUUGUAGAGCACAAAACAUUAUGGUGGAAAACUU